GGGGCGGGGCGAAAGGAAGGAAGAGGUGGAGCUGUUGCGCUCUAGCCGCCAUGCUGAGUGAGGGCAGCUAUUCUGGUGCCAGGGCCUGUGUGGAGGAGGGGCGGCAGCGCGGCCGGGCACAGCCUGCAGGCGGCCGAGUCGAUAGCGACCCCGCGGUGUUUACGGGGCGGCUCGACGGGGCUUCGGUGCAUCCCAGCACAGCGCUAUGCAGAAGGGCCAAACAGUGGCGCACAGCGAAUGUUUUGAGGCGGGCUGAGAAAAGCCUCAUCAGCGCCUCCCAUAUGGUCUAGCGGUUAGGAUUCCUGGUUUUCACCCAGGCGGCCCGGGUUCGACUCCCGGUAUGGGAAGGAAUUUCAUUUUUGCUCCCAUCGUUUUGGAGGCGUUCACACGGCAACGAACCUGGCGACCGGAGCCGCCCAGAACUGCCAGAGGUCCACAGCCAUGGCGGGCCGCGGCCCCCGCCAGCGUGAAGCGGCGGGUGGGGGUGAGGACGGAGCUCCCGGCGGGGCAGCGUGCGCCAGGUCACGUCUGCCAGCACGGCGCAGCCGCCGUUUGCACCCCUCGGCGAGAUCCCAACGCGCGGGCUGUGGGCAGACAGGCGGCGGUGCGCAGAGAACCCACUGAGAUGCAUCGAGAAUGCGACAUUAGUCUGUAGAACUAGCCUACACUGCAUUCCUUCGUACGUCAAUAGUCCUUCGCAGAGCGAGGGGAAAUUCCGCAGGAAAGCCAAGCCUGCCUGAUAAUGCCUUUACCGACGCCGCUUACAGACGAGCAGCACCCCCAGCGCCCAGCAACUGCCGCUCGGCACGCAGUAGCACGCAUGCGCACAGCCCGGCCGGCACACAGCGACAGAAGACGGCGCGAGACUUCACGCAUGCGCACCCGUACGUGUGACGUACUGCGCACGCGCCACCGCACCGCUGUGCAACAGCGCAGAUGCGCUCAGCAGAGCCUUGCGCCAGGCGGGCGCAGGGGUGAAACGACGCGUGCGCUCUCCCGCCUCGUAGAGCACGGCGGAGCGCGGGCGCUUUCCACUCACGUCGCGCGACGUUACGCAUGCCCACAAGCGCCAACUGCCUCGGGAGCCGUGUGCGCGCGCACCGCCGCGAAGAGAGCCGGUCAUCGCUCUCUGUCCUGUCCCAUAUGAAAUGGAUUUAUGCUGUCCCCCAGGAAAGGAGUGAACAAAGUAAGGAACAUGCACUAGGUGACCUUGAAGACAAAGCCCCAGUUAUGUCUCCUCAGAGAAAUUUCUCUCCUCAAUUAUAAAAAUGUAGUUGUCUCCAUCUUUCCGUUGCCAAAGCCUUCAUUAGACUGCCCUCAAAGUCAGACCCUGCUCAACAAGUAGCAGCGUUUAUUACUGAUCAUCAGUGAUUUAGACACUUCUAAUAGUACAAAAGAGCGCUCAUUUUCUCCUGAGUUUCACAUCCUCCAACCAAAGCAGUCACAUCCUUGGGCUUCAAAAGAAAGUUUGGGCUGCUCAUACUGUGAAGAGAUCAUUCUCCUAAGGACUGAAGUUAAGACUCAUGCCCAUUUCUACGAAUACCAACUUGCCAGCAGCGUGCUCAGAGCAGUGGGAAAGAGAUGGUGAUGUAUUUUACAAGACAGAUGACCCAAUCAAGAAAAACCCACCUGGGCCCAAUGCUGCAGUCCUUUGUAUGAAGUGUUCGGAGCUCAAGGAGUGAUUCACUCCACAGAUAACCAAAAACACAGGGAGCAACUAAGCAAAAUAGAGACACUGCACAGAAGCCAACUGAUUUAUUGCUCUUACUGUUUGUAUUGUGGAGAUGAGCACUUCAGAGCUGUGUCUUCCAGGGAAGAAGAGAAGCAUGAAACACUGAACUAAUCAAAUUAGCAAUGACAAUAAUUGCAAACAACCUCACUGAAUAUGUAAGGCUUCUGAAAAGAGAUAUAAUUUAAGUGGCCUCUUUGCUGUUCCCCCAGAAAAUCAGCUGAUUUUAGAGGAAAGACAGCAUGAACAAGAGGGCCUUAAAGAAGCUGUAACCCUGAGAAAAUCAAUCCAGUUGUGACUCAAGCAGAUAAACUGGCUGGAAAUAAAUGAGAAAGAAGUUAUAGGCCCUUCAUUUCUACCAGAUGAUAUGGGAACUUCAUAUAUAUUUUUCCCCUAAGAAAAAAUAAGCCACCUCUGAAAGCAUUUGAACCUGUCAACCAGCAAAAUAUUCUUUGAAAUGUCAACAGGUUGAGAUCUGCCUUAUCAGUGCACCGAGAAGCUUAAAAACUCUUGAUUAUUUUAGGAUGAGAUGCCAUCUAAAUAAUUACCCAGGUUUGUAUUUGAUGCAGUAGUGGCAGCUAAGUCCCACAGAAGAUUCAGAAUACUGAUGCUCCACCCAGCCCUAAUUUUGAGAGUACCUCAUAACCAGUCGCCUAUGGCUCCUGUGCUGAUGGAAACUUGUGGUGUGCAGCCCUGUAUCAAGCAGAGAAUGGGACUGCUACACAACCCACCUCAUGCUGGUUAACAGGACUAUAGCAAGAACACCAAAACUGCUUUCUGACACCUCUUUGGGUCUCUGUGCAGUUUGGUGCUCCCUCAUCGGUGGAAAGUAAUUCUGCGAGACUUGGAGAGGAAAUUCCUACUUAAGACAGCCACGUUGAAGUUGUUUGAAUCCUGGUAAUUCAGGAGAUGAGAGCCCUGUGCUUUCAUGGACUGAAAGCUGAACAAGAGCUGGAAAGCUGAGUGGGUUUCAGAAGCAGACUUGCAGAGAGCAGCGUGGCUCUCAGAUUUGUUGUCAGCUCCCCUGAAGCCAUUGGAGCAAUGACAGCUGACACUGACAGUUCACCUCAGGGGGAACAUCUACAGUUAUAUGAACAGGAAAAAAGAUAUGCGAGAACGUGGUCUGUGUCAAGACACCCACAGCUGGAAGCUUUCCCUUCAGACAAGAACCUCCAUAACUUCUCUACAAAGCUCCUUACAAAGCAGGUGGCUGCUCACAGAGAUGGGAGAACAGGAUGAGAUGAGGCUCUUGCUGCAGUCCCCUGCAGCUGUUGCUCCCCUGCAGCCAGAGCUAUUGGACAGAAACAUUCCACAUCUCUGUCUGUAGUCCCACUGUUGGUGCAAAACUGGCCAGCAGGUUUAUCUUUUUGCCAGCCAAAAGGCCACAUGUUUGCCAGUUCUCUCUCUCUUUAAAUUCUGUGAAUGGAAUUGGGGAAUACGAAAUUAAUUUUAAAACUGUGACGUCAAAAGAAAAAAUAAAUUCCAGCAAAACCAAGAAUUACCCUUUUAAUUGCUGUAAAUGCAUGCAAGCUCUGCAGUUCUUACACUGGAUUUGAUUUUCAAUUACCUUAUAUAAGGUCUCUUCUGAAGAAAGCAGAACAUCCUUUAGUAGCACCUUUCUGAAGUAUUUGGUUAACGAUACCAAAUUAAGAAAAAUAUCUGUAAUGGGUCAUGUGACAACCAAAACAGACAGUGAUUACUAUUAGAAUCGGUGUCAUUAUUAAGACUAAUAAACAAAUACUGAUUGCUAUCAAAAUAAAGCAAUGAAUUUUCAUAAGAUACUCUUUUAGAGAACAUGAGCAAUUUCUAGAUAUGCCUUCUGCACACGUACCAUUCUGACUGUAGGUGCUUAUGUCCCAUAUGCCUGUGGAUUGGUAACGUUUUUAUUAUUAUUAUGUGUCCAUAACUAUACUGCCAUCUAAAAAAUAGAUCCACUUUUAUUACACUGAUUUGAGCUUACAUGCUCCUUCUUCCUAGUUAAAACAAAACAUAACCACCUGAUGUUCUCUGAUGUGAUUUCCAAAACAUAACUAACACAGAGAUAGGCUUUCAUGUUAAAAGGAAAUAAAAACAAUAGUACAGUAAGGAACAUAUUUGGUUGUGAUGAGUCCCACACUACUGAUGCUUGCAACUGCAGCGCAGCUGAUCCAGAAGCUUCUUUCAGCCAUGUAGUUGUCUACAAAGUAAAACCCGUUUUACUCAAAGGACCAUGCCAAGAUAAAUACUAAUUCCAGAAAUGCCCUUCUUUUGCAAAACCACCAUCUAAUCUUUUACCUUUGAUCACAUGUAAUGGCUCUUCCCAUUUCUUGUAGCACCUUGCCUUGACGUUGCAUCCAACAGAAGGCUCCAUACAGCGUUCCUCAGUGCCACCCCCUGCCCUUCCGCGGCAGCUCUGGAACCACUGUCACCCAGCUGCAACUCCUCAGUUCCUGGGGAAAGCACAAAUAAUCACCGAGACACAGCCAUAGAAAUAGGUCUGCAAAAAACAAUAGGCAUAAGGAACAAACUGAAAUUUGGCUCUAGACAGACAUGUACUAAAACAAGGCCUGGUGAGAUGAAAGGAGGAAACAAUGAGUGAAGAGGAGUCUCCAGGGCCUUGUCCUCUUUUUAUUUAUGCCAUACCAAGACACACCAGACAACAAAGACACACAUAAAAAAGCCAAGCCUUUGUUUUCCUUGUGAUUAUAUGCGUCAAGCAAAGGGAUGAGUUAUACACAAGAAGUUCUGUCUGAAAUGCCUUGUUUUCUUGCCUCUGAACCACACUGCACGGUAUUAAUUUAAGGGAAAAAAAUGGUGUCAUCCAAAAUAUCAACAACUUCUAUUUAUUAAAACAAAACAAAAAAAAAUGUUUAGCAUUGCAGUGAGAAUGAGGGGUUUAUUCCAAGUCUAUUUUCUACUCAAUAGUCUAACUAGUUUCCUGCUGUGCUGCGUCGCUAAUAGGCCCAUGGAUUAAAAACAAAGUUUCUUCUGCUAAAUGAGGCUUCCGACUUAUGCAAGGAGAGACUGUAUUGCAAUGAAGGGAAAGUUGAAAAAUAAAAGAAAGGGAAAACAAAAUAAAUAAGUUCCUUAAGCCCUUUGCUGCCCUCUGGCCUCCCUGGAGGAUUCCGAGCCAGAAGAGAAAACAGAGAGAAAUAGACUGACUUGCUGGAGCCUGAACUGGAAUUUUCUGUGUAUUUCAAUGACUGACAUGGACACAACAGAGGCGUUGCUAUGAGGGGCCUGUAAGAGGCCAUUGGCAUUGCAAGUGUUGCACCAAGUGCUAUUAACUCUUUCCUCCUGUUACCAGUAUCAUCGGAUCAUAAAAUGGCUUGGGUUGGAAGGGACCUCAAACACCACCCAGUCCCAACCCCCGCCAUGGGCUGACUGCCCCCCACCAGCUCAGGCUGCCCAGGGCCCCAUCCCACCUGGCCUUGAGCACCUCCAGGGAUGGGGCACCCACAGCUGUCUGGCAGCAGUGCCAGGGCCUCACCUCCCUCUGAGUAAAGAAUGUUUUCCUAACUUCUAACCUAAAUCCCCCCUCUUUUAGUUUAAAACCAUUUCCCCUUGUCCUAUCACUGUCUUCUUCUGCCUGUAGGCCAAAGCUCAUCAUCUUUGUGAAGAAAUGUUGGAUGUUAAAUUUGGCUGUCCUCAUACAAAGACCGCUGUAGUAAAGGUAAAGGGGAAAAAUACUCUUCUUCGUUUUGCCCUGACCACAGUUUGGUGUUUAGGUAGCACCAACUGAGGGCUUCAAAACACAGCUGUAGCAAAUAAUCUGGCUCAGAAAUACUAUAGAAAUAGUUGAAUAGCUUUGCAGCAUCAGCUUUUUUUUUUUAUUGAUAGGUAUUACGUGAUUACCAGUGCCUAUUUAUGGGUCUGGGGUUUGGCACUGCCGACAGAGAAACUAAAGCACAUUUCAAGAUCGAAGUACAAGACAGAAAUACAGCGUACCAGAGUUCUGGAGCAUUAUAAAUUUCUUAUGUUAUUAUUUCAGAUAUAUUUGGGGAAGAUAUUUGCUCCACCAGAAGUUCCUGGAAGGCUCCGCAUUGCUUUCAGUGAUCCCAAUUGCAGCCCAGAAAGAGCUGACCUAAAUCUAAAAUAAGGUAUAGAAAAGGAAGCAGAUUUAGAUUUGAAUCUCAACUCCAUCACUGAAUUUCUUCAUUAGUUCUGGUAAAUCAUUUUGACUUUUAUUACUUCUAUGUCCGAUUCUCAAUUUCCAAGAUAAGAAUCAGUUCUUUUUCACACAGCGCUGCAAGGAUCCUUUAAAAAAGAAAUCACAUAAAAUACAAUGGCUCCAUCUGAGGGAAGAUGAAUAGAUAACUGAAUAUACCUUCUUAGAAGAAAACAGCUUUAAAAAGCCAGAAAAAUCUCUUUAUGUCCAUAAGGAAAACAGAAUUUCCUUCAGCUGAAAACCUGACUAGACAUUAGAAUAGGCUGCAAAGCGUGCUUAAAGCUGCCAAGAAAGCCCUGGGCAGAAAAGAGUUUCAGAUUCCAGUAUUAAUUUUCAAGGAUCUUGCUUUUAAAAACGAAGUCCAUAUGAAUGUUUAGUUUGCAGCUUUUAUCUGGUCUUGGAAGACAGACAGGGCAUCAGAUGUCCUGCAGACUAACUGGUCCUUAUUUCACUUGCAUCAUGGAUGGCAGAAAGGCUGGAAGAGUAAUUUCAGGAUUAUCUGCAGCGUUGGUUUUGGUGUGAACCUGUUGGCAAGGAAUGCAGGAGGUUCUGUGAAGCUGGUAUUUCACCGGGGCAGCAGAACAGGCUUCGCAUUCACAGCUCGGGGAGGAACCACAGCUCCCUUUUCCCCGUUAGAAAUUUGGAUGCGAAAUUAAACACUGAUGUCCAUGAAAUAUUUUACCUGGCCUCUGACAGAUUAGGUGACUGAGAAGAGUUGGAUUUAUCUUGGGAAAUGUCUCAUGAAGCUCAAGCUCAGGAUGGUUGUCGGGAUUAUGACUAGAAGCCAUUAAACGUAAGGCUCCUAAUCUUUAUCUGGGUUUUAAUAUAGCAAGACUUGGACUACAGGCUACACUGGUGCUGCAGAAGUAUAGCAGUAUAGCAGCUGGUUAUCUUUCUCACAUCCUGUAUGUCCCCAAUGAGAGCACAGUGAAGUCACCUGUGGCACAUUCCCACGUACAGCAGCCAGCAAGGGCUCCUGUGCAGUUCCAACUCCAACCUUUCAUUUCUAUCUCCGGUUGCAUGCAGGCAGAACUCUUCAGCAAAGGCAAUGAAAGGAUUUCUUCAGCUCUGCUUCCCCUGCACAUCCCACCAGCCUCUGAGAGCACUGCCACACUGGACACACAAAGCAGCAUUUCCUCUCCAAACUGAGCACGUUUUAGCAUUGCAGAUACAGACACCACACCUGGCAGUGUUAGCAGUGCUUUGCUCAGAACCAAACUGCAUUCAGGCCACAUAUGCAAAUUCUUCUCAAUUUUGGAAGAGAGUUGGGCUGAGAGGGAAGAAUAAAUAAAUCUGUAUUUUCUUCUCCUUCAUUUUCUUAAGUCCAGAGAGAGAAAUGAACUAAUUAGGGCUGAGUUUUCCACUAGAGUAGGCUUGUUAAAAAUUUGCUAGCAAACUUAUGAUUUAAAUGAAUAAACCUAUUGUAUAUGAACACGCUGACAGAUAUUUCUCAUUGCACAGGUCUGUCACAGUCAUUUACAGGCAACAGCAUUUCCUUCCAAUUCUCUUUUAUUGUGUUGAACACAGAGGGCUCCAGUCAGACACAGCUCUGCUAACACACCCAGUCCAAACAGCAGCUAUACUGUAAUCCUCUGUCCAAAUACUCAAUGGGUGGGCUGUGUGCUUCCACCCACAUCCACUCCUGUGUUUGAACGUUCACCUUGAGCCAUCCAAGAGCUCAGAAGUUUCAUUUGAGCCCCUUUUUACACUAUGCAGUUUAUUCCAGGACCAAAAGUCUUGCACACAGAAAACCAAACAUAUCCUUUGGGCAGCAUUCAGGAACUGAAGCUAGAAUGGCAUUUCCCAAAGGAGAUAGAUCUCCAACUUGCAGUGAAAAUCCAGGGCUCCAGCACACUCCUGAGCUGCUCUGUGCCCGUUCACAGGAUCAGACUCAGUAGAGGUACGGACUGCCAAUCCCUGCUCCAUGAGAAUGUGUUCUCUUGGAUUCAGCCUCCAAAGCAGUCCCAGUUUGGAAGGAGGUCAUUGUUUCCAUUCUGCAGUGGAAUGAGUUCUCCCUGCACACGCCUUUGCAGCUGAAACUCCUUGGCAUGCCAAUGGGGAGGCUGGUGCCUGGCACAGCUGGCCCUGCAGUAUUACAUCUAACCUGUCAGAGCUCAUUUUCAAUCUCGUUAUUCUGGGGGCUGGUGCACUGCCAAAUCAUCUCCAAUGGUUCAGCAGCACAGGAUCCCCUGGGGGGUAUUUUGUUUUCAAAUCUCUCUCUCCAGCCUCACACAACAAAGCUCUGUCAUAAAACCUGCACAGAGAUCAUAUUACUAACACAAACUAGUGGUAUGUGUGUCUGACUCUGAAAGUCCACGCCGGCGUUGGUCUGCCUGUUAUCAUAAGCAUCGCUGCUUGGGCUGACAGUUGUGUGUUUGCAACGCUGAGCAGACCGAAAAACAGCCUUCCUAUAGACUAAAAGUCCUUUCUGGAUAUAAAGACUUCUAUUUUCACUCUCCCUAUGUUCAGCAGUAAGUAAAUACACAGUAGGUCACACCAGCUUGAGUUGUUUUGAAAUGCGUUUUCCCUCUCCUUUUCACCCCCUGGACCUGAAUCUUUCUUUUUGCAGCAUUUUCUCUUGCAGCCCAUAUGAAUCAGAGUGAACUAUGUAAGAAGUAUUCUACAUCUGCUACCUGUUCUUCCUGCCUCACUCUAUGCUCAUCUGCUCUGCAAGAACAGGCAGACUUGCCAAGUUGCAUGCAUCAGCAUCACAAAGCAGAAAUGUUGCCAUUUCUUACCUUAAAAAGGAAAAAAGACUGAUUCAGGGAAGCCAAGACUGGAGGCACACUGCAUCCCCUUAGAACAGCACAAAGAAGAUAGAGGCAAGUGCGUACAUGGAACAUUACUUGAAGUUGGAAGGCAGAGUUACAAGAAAUAAUACAUCUAACAUCUUCCAAAAAGAACUAAGGAAUAUAAAAGCACCAAAAUAAAUAAAUAAAUAAAUAAAAUAAGAUCCGUACAGUAUUUUCUUGCCCUGCAAGAAGCUUAUGGAAGAUUCCUAUGAACGACCUUAGCUUUCUACCCUUGAAAAGUAACACGCUCUUUCCUUGAAAUGCAGCAGGAAGAACUAUUUUCCAUGAAUAUCUAAGAAGUUACAAGCCUGAGAACGCUAACCUAAAGGAGCAGUUACCUAUCUUGCUAUGUAACGGCUUUCAAUAUAUACUGAACAGAAAUGUAAAAUAUUCAGUGAAGAACUUAGAAGGAUAUUUGCUAAGAUGAAAGGACUAUCAGAACCUCUAUUGUGUCUCAGUUCUUGAAUGGCCAUAGCGUGGUGUCAGUUUGAGAAGAGAUGGAUUGGAAUGCUGAAUCUGGGACCAGAUAUACUAACACUCCUGGAGUUGAAAAAUUUGACCUGAAUUUUCUGAAGAGUGCCUCAGGUGGGCUCUUAGUCAGGAAAAAAACAAGAUAAGAGAGACCAAAAGAAUGACCAGCAGGCUAAUGCUCCUAAUUACAACCCUGUAACAGAUUAUAUCUGUAGCCUUAGGCGAGCUGCUUCAGCACUCUGCAGGGCCUGACAGCUAAGGACGAAACGGCAGUGAGCAGCAGUACAGACAGGCUCUUUGAUGUGCAUUAUAACUUGCUGUUUUGUGUGGAUCAAAUAGUUACCGAGCACUGAUGGAUUGGUUGAGUUCAAGGUGCUACAGAAAAUCUCAAUACCCUCUCUUAAAUCCCCUACGGUCAGCUGGCCUCUUGAUCCACAUCCUUAAGCAGCGUGCUCAAGAGGAGAAUUUCUUCUUCUGCAGCUGCUGUUUUUCUACUCAUAUACUGAACAAGAAAAACCAUGCAAAACAAACAGAGGUAAAACAAACAAACACAACCAACCAACCCCAUACAAGAGUGAACGAACAGCAUCACCAAGCCCAGCCAAACUGCUAAAACUUUCUCAGACGGGGCCAAACCUGAGGCUUUUUUUUGAAUCAAGCCGUUCAUUUAACCAGUUAUUGAUCCAGUCUCCUUAAACUAAUUACUUGAACCAUUCAUCUGGGCAAAAAAAGAAACAAAAAUUAAGUCUUUUACUGGCCUCAGCACAUGGCUGGUUUUCUGACAGUGCCAAUCAAUCCCUCUGUAGCACUAUAAAUUGGUUGCAUAGUUUGUGUCUUAAAUAUCUUUAAAAGCAGACAAUUGGCAAUGAGAUGAGUACAGAGAUUAACCUGGUCAUAUUUCGUACCAUGUGGGAUUUGACAUUGAGAGGUACCUAAGUAAUUUUGACAGGUUUUCUUAAACUACAGGUUGUUUUGUUUCGCUGGCAAGGAGGCACUGAGGCAUUAGUCUGCCAGACAGAGAUAUUCUUGAGAAGACAUCUGUUCCCAGGAAGGAAGCACCACCGGUCAUUUGAUCAGUAUCUGCUCAAGUACUCCACACCACGGUGCUGAAGGUCUCUGGGUUCAGUUCUGAGGAUGAUGCAGCAGAGACCACCGGGUAAGUUGCGGAGAUGGAAAAAGUCCCAGAGCUCUUCAGAAGGUACAGAUCCCUCUGAAGGCUCUCAGUACUUGAUUUACUGUUUGUACAGACAGUGCUGAAGCAUAUGGAGUAUACAGAAUGAUCAUCCAACAGUAAGAAAUGCACUACAUGUACUCACCUGCUUCAAUGAUAUGCAUUUGUCCUAAAACCAAUAACUCUCCUCUCCCAGAAAACAGUUUGUACUGAGAUUGCUGUGAACAGGAUUAAUGUGGUCAUUUGAAGAACUGGGAACAAGGAAAACCCUGCAGCCAAAAGACAUUCUUAGGUGUUCAGACAGACAGCCUCACCUACACGGCUGUUAUUUAUACAGAGAUAGACGCACACACAUACGCACACAUCUGCCAGCCUGCUGGAGAGUACGUCAUUGCUGGAGCUGGUGAGCCUUGCCAGUGCUGGCUUUUCGGUGAGAGCCUCAGCUGAACAUACUGUUCAGAUAUGUAUCCAGCUGUUCAUAUAGAACAGUAAUCACAACAGCAACGACUUUCAGAGCAGAGACUUCAGGCAACACUUGAGGCUGCAAACCAUCUCAGUAACUACCAGCUUGAAAGAUUCAGGCUGGUAUCUUCUGAUUCCUUCAUGUCUUCCCCUUAUACUUAAGCUUAACCUCAUCCUCCUGUUACGAGACUCAGGUAACAAAUUACUACCACAGAUGUGCCCCUAGGUGUCCAACACAGCAGCACGCGUGGUACAGAACAUACCGAUGCAUCAUGCAUCAGAACUCAGCUGGCUCUGCACAGUGAUGGCAGUUGAUUUACAGCACAAUAAUAUUCUGGAUGUUCAUUUAUUUAUUUUUUUGUCAACUACAUCUCUGAGCCCUACCUGAAUAUAACAUCUUUGGAUAUUUAGUAUUUUGAUAUAACCAUGACUACCUGUGACUGCUCUGUCUGUCUACAGUGACAGGAAAGGUAUGGAAUCUGCCUGCUGCCAAAAAUACCGGUUAUUGCAGCUUGGCAUAGUACAGACCCUCCCCUAGUACCUUGCUUUAAGGUGUCUUAAGCAAUGGGUUAGUCCCAGAGAGACCUGCUGUAAACACCCACCUUCACCAGUUCUGCAUCAUUCAGCUACCUCAGAUAAUUCGGCUUCAAGACAGGACAAAUUCAGCUUCAAGACAGGACAGUGCUUAUCUGAGAGUCACAGACAGUGAAUGCAGAACUGUCAAUUUCAGUCCAAAAAUUAUUAUUUUCUGGAGUGUGUACUGACGCCUUCAAGCAGUCAAUUAACCUUAGCAGUGCUCUGGGAUAUUCUUGAGGCUUUUUCUGAAUGCUCAAUGAUAACUAUAGUGGAUUAUGCUAUGCACAUACUUCUGUAUUCCUUCUCUGUCUACUGAAAGGCAUGGAGAUGCCAAAAAGACAAAGUUCAACAAGUGCAUGUGCUGUGCAAUGAAACGUCGUUCUGAGAGGAAGGGGAAAAUCUUCUGCAUUUGCUGUCCUUUGGGCCUUACCAAGAGCCUGAACAAUUGAACAGGAAAUGAUUCACUUCAUUUCCUAUGCCAUUGCAUACCACGAGCUUACUCCUACCAUUGUAGUCUCAAGUGCACUGAUGACUGCUUUCAAGCAUCAGCACCUUAUCGGGGAGAUGAUCCCUGUUUGCAGGAUCUCAAACAUCAUCGCUUUCACCUUACAUUCAACUGGCAAUAUUUUACUGACCUACAACCCCUUCCUGUAACCCCUAGCUAUGUUCCUGCAACAAGAGCUAGACUCCUCCAUUUAACAGCAGUGUAUCUAAGCACACAGCUUACUACAGUAACCAAGUGUGCAUGACAAUCUCAGAUUGUACUUUGAACAUUCAAGUAAAUUUAAAACAUGAUGCUAGCAUAUAUAAAUACUUGUAUAUCCACAGAAUUCUGAGCAUCUUGCAGAUUUAUUAUCGCUGUUACAGUUUUUUCAGCAGAAAGGGUAACGCUUAAAAUACACAGAUAAAAGACUCAACUUCUUAUAGCAGAAUCUCAGGAGACAUCCUGCAGGAGAGAACCCAGCAGCAGGCACCCAGCUGUGUGUGUGCUCCCCACGAGCAGUGUGCCAUUGGGGCUCCACCUAAAAACCAUUCAGCAGCAACAACAAAUGAAGUUUCCAAUACUGUGCAAGAGAAGUGACAGCCAAGUAAAUCAAGUACCUUGUCCAAGAUCAUUCCAGAGAUCAACUUCAGUGCCAGGAACAGAACAUACCUUGUCUACUUUCCUGCUGUUUGAUUUUAUUCACUCUGUAGUGGCUGCUCCGUGGCUCCCAUGGACAUCCUCUCUCUCUCUGUGUACAUGUCCUCUAAAUUCUUUACCUCGUCACCCCAUCUUCCCGGCUUACCCUUAAGGCAAUUGAUGCAUGUUUAGUAAUUACAGCCUUCUCUCCAACUCAGUUCCUCCAGAUCCUUUUGUUCUCUCUCAACUAUCACUGUGACUUGGAGGCAACCUGAAAGUGAACACUGUGACUCCAACCUUGCUGCAACACAGAGUGAAGGAGACCAGAGGACAUCCUAUCACUCCUCCAGUUCCUACUGCAGGCAGCCCACGGGAGCAGACCCAGCCUGCAAUAGUGAUUCCUUCCACCUCUACGUUCCUUUCAAGGCAGGCAGGCAGGUUCCUUCUGCCCUGUGCUUUCAACACAGUUUCCAUAUUGCACAGAUUGCCAGUUACCAGCAAUCUCUGCGUAGUUUUCACAUCCUAUAUGCUAAGCAUUAACAGGUGACCUCAAAUCCAAGGCAAAUCUCCCACAUUAAGUAUAACCCAGUACUACAGAUUAGCAUAAUUUCCUGCAGCUCUGCUGAUGAUAGUAAAAAUUAAUACAUCUUAAUAUAUCAGCAAAGCUUGCCAUAGAAGCUGAGGAAUGGGAUCUGCUGUGUCCCAUGCGAGGUUUAUUUUAGAUUUAUACUUGAGAAUGGAGUUGAUCCACAGCAGUCGACUCCAAUUCACCUCUCUAUGGAUAGAUUUUCAGUCGUCAUCUACAACCCAGGCCAGCUGCGCAACCAAGUAGUGAUCUGUACACAGAUGCUUCAUUAUGUGCAGAAAUGAGCAAGAAGUUCAGAAGACAUCUCAGCUGGAAGCUAUCCAUGCCUGUCUGUCUCAUGAUUAGAGGAAACCUGGGAAGUUCAAAUGCAAAACCAAAACAAAGUGUCUGAAGAGACUCACCAGCUCGCUCUGUCCUGCAGUAUAUCCAGAGGCAACAAACUGCGUCAAGAACACAAGAUGAGUUGAAACUGUGUGAGAGCUAAAAUGAUCUGCGGAAAUAAAUCGAUGCAGACAAACCUGUGUUAAGGAGCCACAUGAGAGAUUAGAAAAGAUCAGUAGCUUAACAAGAAGUUUUUGAGGAACAGAAAUAUUAAUCAUACUUAUUAUGCUUUGCAAUGCCUUUAAGGCAGAGCUCGCCUAACGGAGGUGCUGCAUUCCCAUUGAUUUCCCCGUAAGGUCCAUGAUGUGUGAAAAAUUGAGGAGCUGCAAUGAAAAAUUAUUUGCCAGCUAGAUUGGAAAGUUAGCUUUGCAAAAGUAACUUGUAUGCAACUUACGUAAAGCAGGAGAAAAACGUAACGUUCAUGACAGGGUAAGGAAAACAGCUUGGAGUAAUGUGCAAAGCUUGUAAAGCAGGUUGGGUUUCCACAACCAAACUAAGGAAAUUACAAUCACAUCUGCAAAGAUUUCUUCCCACCUGGGCAACCCUUCAAGCUCACGUCGUUGGGAAUUUUCUGUGCCAAGCAGAGGGAGGAUGACUUACUGGGUGCUUGUGUAUUCAUGGCAAAACAGAAGGAGAGGAAAAGGAAACAUUCUCCAUCUUCAGAAAGUUACAGUGGAAAGGGACUGCUGUUCUUCUUCAGCGCAAAGGAACGGUGUUGUUUUCACUUAGCAUCCAAAAUGCUUACAUUUCAGAGCCAGGACAGGAUUUUAUUUGUGGAAAUCAAAACCCAUUAUUGUGUGUGCACACUUACAAAAACUCACCACCUCUGGAGUGAAAUGUGGCAGCUGUUUCACAAAUAAGAAGCAAUUUCCACUGAUGAAAUGCAGGCAGUGCAGCAGAUAAUAGCCUAGCCUACUGCCUUACAAACCUUCCUCUUUUGGAGAUUCUUUCUUUUUUUCCUCCCCUCUCUCCCUUUGAUGGAAACCACCUUUCCAUCAGACUCAGCAGACUAACUGGGAUUUCAAACAUCCUAGGAGUGGCAGCGUGUCCCCCAGACACGUAUCCACAUGCAUAAUGUGUUUGCUGUGUUUUCCAGCCAGCAGAUGGUUGCCUGGUUGUAUUCAAUCAAAGUGUUUUUGCUACUAAGUGCCCUGAUUUUUCCACAGAAAAAUAACCCAGAUGGAGGUCACAAAUGCAGAACCACGGUGCCUCACCCAAGCCUUCCUCUCCUGUACCAUCAGUAGAGAAAUGUUAUUUACAAAAGCACCUGCCUUUCCAGGCAUGCUGUACCCUGUAGGUAUCCAAUACCCCUGUGCUGAAGCGCCUGCCUUGAAUUAAAAGAAAGCUACCCCAUCUUUCGCUCAGCUUUUAGCCCCUUCCACCUUGUAACAAGAUGGCAGUGUACCAGUUAUUAAAACCUAACACAAUAAUAGCCAGCAAUACUUUCCUUGCCUCAGCUGUUUGUAAGAUGAAAUACUGGCACUUCCCCACAAGGCUUUAUCCCUUCUGAAAUCCUACUCAGCGUUCUGGACUGACAGACAUUGAGCCCCAGAGGAAUUUCUACUGAGACUACAUGCAGAUGCUCCAGCACUAACAAAGCCUGCUCACUGUGUAAUAACGCACACUAUUGCCCUGAUGCCAGGAUGUCAUAGGAGCUCUGCGUGAUGGUAAGCCUGGGGUGCUGUGCUCCACUGAUGCACACAACUGAAGAAAAGGAAAGAGGACAAAUAUUUGUACCACUCCUGUGACCACGAAGACCAAAGCGAUGACCAAAUUCCUGGGAGGUGCAUGUUUGAAGAAGGCUCAUUUCAACAACUGAGAAUAAUGCAUUUUCCAAUUUCUCAGUGCAGAAAGCCUGAUAUAUCCACCUACCUCCUUAAGUGCAGUGAGUGGCCUGCACUGAGCUCUGCAUUUCUGCAGCCACCUCACUAUCAGGAUCUGUGCUAGAAAGUCACAGCAAAUUCAGGUAUAGCCACAGAUCUUCCUUACAGAUACACCUUGUCACCCAAGGCAAAAACACCUCAGCUCACAUCUCUCACCACUGAGCAGCAGCAGCCCAAGUUGAGCGAUCAUCUCGGCUGGUGUACUUUGUCACCCUGAUGUGCACUCGCAGAGAGAAGCCACCCUGGGCAUAGGGUUUAUUACUGCACACAGCCUCGCCGCUGUGGAACCAGCUAUCACUUACCCAGCCCCCUCGUGCUUUCCUUUUCCUGCCAGCAUUAAAAUUGUCGGAUUGGCAUUUUCAGCAUGACUCUGCCAAGAUGAACUUGAACUACACACGCAUCUGUCUUCUUCACAUCAGUGUGAAUCUUCUUUCAUUGCUUCCAGAGUUGUUAAUCCUUCUCCUCCGGGACUGUACCAGGAUGGUUCUUUUUUCUUGAGGAUAAUCAGGCUGUCAAACAGGAUUCUAGAAAGGACAUGCAGUUCCUGAUGCGCUUUCAUUUUCCAUAUUUCUUUGUCAUUGGUUAAUUUAGUCCCACUGGAGCGGGAAACAGACAGUUAAGAGUUCAAGGACAAUUGUGGUAUUUUGCUUUUAAAUGGCAUUUAUAGGUGAUAGUUAAUCAGAAGCAUAUUUCAGAACUUACAAUUAGGAGGAGUCUUAAAGAUAAAGUUAACCGAUGUUACAGGGAGGAACUGGAGAGAGCAGGAGAGAGAAAUAAGCAUUCACUGGCAGUAAACUGCUAACACAGCUGUUCAGAUAACCAACCUGGGGGGCCAUAAUAAAUAAGGCAGUGCCACAGGGUACCCCUCAAAGGGCCAAACAGCUACAGAAAGCAGUUCCCACAUGCAUCUAUUCAGCUGUAAGAGUGUCCCACUGGCUGCAUAAAUCUCAGGAAUUGGAAUAGAUUACAUUUAAAGGCCCCUUCCAAUUCAAACAAUUCUAUGCUUCUAUGAUUCUAGACUGGAGUAUAUAGGAACAGACACAUACAUAAACCCAGAGUGCAGCACAUCAACGGAAUGCCUUUGAAAGGAGAGAAGAAAGAAGGUAUUUCUUGCCAUGUCAGUCUUCCUUCCUCAGUGUAUACUGCAAGUAGAAACUCUAACGAAAUGCAGCUCCUUCUGGGAAGAGCAGCACAAAACAACUGUUAUUGUAACAUAGGGGAAGGAAACACUAGGGACCUCCAGUGUGACUACAUCAGACACCAAAACUACAUCUAUUAAGCAGCUAUGUCUACAGGAGGAGAGAGACCAUAAUUUACCAUCUCACCUGAAAAACAAUUUUCAGCAGUAUAAGGCUGCUAGCAGCAAAGUGUCUUGCUAGUUUAUUGGUAAAUCACAGGAGAGCAUCUUCAAAUGAAGCAUCAGUGGCAGACAGUGAUUUCUGCACAAUCCUGUGCUCACAGCUUGGAAAAUUCUCUGGGUGUCCCAGCAGAAUCAAACAAGAUAAAGAGAGAGCGAUUCAAGUGAUGAGUAAUAAAAGGCCUAGGAAAGACUGCCUGAUCAUGGACAAAUGUGAUAUUGGCAAGAAUUAAUGAGUGUGGUAAGACAGAAAGGAGCUGAUGGUAAAAAGAGCAUGAACGGGUGACGGUUCAGAUCUAAUAAGAUUUAAAGUUUCCAAUCCCACUUUGGAAGUCCCAAAUUUUGUUUCAUUUAUUUUAAAAUGAGCCACCUGAGCUUUCCGAUGUGUGCUCAGCUUUUAAUUUCACCAGAGGCAGAGAGGACUCGGGGUUAGAGUUAUUCGGACAGAGCCUACCACAACUUCAGACAGCAUUCAGUCUGACAACAUUCAGCUGCUCCACCAUGUGGGAAAAUAUUCAUGGUGGGACUGUAUUAAAUUGAAUCCUCCAAAAAGAAAAGCCAUUUAUGCUGAGAACAGCCUCUCUCUAAGCAGAGAAUCAGAGGAAAAUUCUGGCUGAAGCCAGGCAGUGUAGUCCAGGGCCAGUUUUCUGUUUUAAUUAACGGGGCAGCUUCACAAGCCCCAUGGUCAUUAGUGUCCCCUAGCAAUUCCUGCAGGACCUGCAACCAGAGGCCAAUGCGUGGGAGAAUGAAACACAGUAUUGGCACUGGGAAGCAUUCCUGAUUUUUUUUUUUUUUAAUUUUCAAUUUUUAUGUUACAUAAAAACUUUAACCAUGACAAAGUCAUCCGUGAGACAGACAGCACAUAAACCAUCCCCAGAAAGCAAUUUCCUCCCAGGUUGGAUAUCAGGAAGAAUUUCUUUUCAGAAGAGUGGUGAGGUAUAGGAACAGGCUGCCCAGGGAGUCACCAGCCCUGAAAAGGGUCGAUGUGGCACUGAGGGAUGUGGUUAAUGGGCAUGGUGGUGAUGGGCUGAUGGUUGGACUAGAUGAUCUUAGUGGUCUUCCCAACCUUAAUGAUUCUACGAUUCCUGCUCCUACGAUUCCUGCUCCAAAAGUGUUAUAGCCUCAUGAAUAAAGCACAGGGAAGGAAUAAGAAAUGUUCUUCCAGCACAACUGGGGUCCAAACCCAGUGUUUUUUGGCUCCCAGGCUACAUCUCCAUCAGCCAGAUCCAAGAGAAGCACCAGCGCUGUUUUCACUCACACAACCUGAAGAUAACGUUGCUCAGUAAACACUGCUCAGCCAUGAAAAUCAGCAUACCCUGAAUAUAUGGGGUGCUGAGCCAUACUAUGUCAGCCCUACUUGCAAGCCACCAAGAGGAGAGUAUCAGGGGCUCCUCUGUGCACUGUGUAACACACAGCCGAGCAAUGAUUCCCCGGGCUUUAUCCCAGUUGCAGAAGGUGGAAGCUUGCUAUUCCCAGCCACAUUUAUUUAUCGCUUUACUCUGGUCUCCAUGGAAACAAGUCAUGAUAUUAGAGGCUGAAAGAGGGAGGUCGGGAGGUCUGCAAGAGCUGCUGGGAGCCAGUGGCACAGAGCAGAACAAAUUCUAAAACUAGAAAAGUGUAAUUUCUCUGCAAAGAGCAAUGAAAUAAGUGGCAGGAGAGUUGAAAAGUACUAAAUGUGAGAGGCCUGAACUUAAUACCACUUCAAUUAUUUAACAAGAUUGUCUCAUCUAUGUAUUUGGAUGAGUAUGAUCAUACUGCAGGACCGCCGAGGUCGUCUCAUCACUGCUUACAGACAGCGUCAGCUUAUUGUAGCUCUGCACUCACUGGGCACCUUUGAAUUACUUUUUAUCAGCCUUCCCUAGAAGAGAUGAACAAGGCAUAAAAGCCCUGAAGCCAGACACUCGGAGUUGUGCUUGAUCCUACAGAAAUCAGUGACACCAGGUGAGCCCAGAGGUGGUUCUAAACAAAUAAACACAGAGAACAGAAGUAACAGAAACACAGCUAGCAGAUGCAUGCUGUGUGAGCCUGCAUCUCCAUUCAGAGAUGGUUUUGCAAGGGACCACAGCCAGACUGUACAAUUAAUACAGUACUGACAAAGUCUCUUAAGCUACUGAAAUGCCUAAAUUGAGAAGAGCGUGAAAUCUCUUCCCUUAUCCAUUCUAUAAAUGAGAGAAAUAUUAAAUGAAAAGCAUACUUCAGACAAGGGCCACAGGAGAUGGUAAGACACUACAGCAUGGGCACCCGUCUUUUCCCCCUCCAGCAUUUUACAUUUCACUUAUAGAAUGUCCAUCAUCCACCCCCCAGGAUAAAUGCAUACAACUUCUUUUUUUUUUCACCCUACAGGACAACCCAUUCAAAUUGUUUCAUUUCAUUUAGAACAAAGACCAUAACCUACAUCCUUGAUACAACCUCUUGUCUGAGUUACAGAAUAGAGAGCGAGCCCAACCGAAAACAAUGGUUGUAUGAAGUAAUUGCGAUGCCUGGACAAGGCUUCCUGUAUUUAAUCACAGGCAUAAUUAAAAACAAAAACCAACCUCCAGCCUCGCUUCAAAUCAGCCUUGUUGCACGCUUUUGUCUGCCACACUGAAGAGUGAAUCAAGUUUUGCCUCUUUGCAUGCGCUGUCGUCAAGUCACCCCUGACCUCUGUUGGCCACGUUCAGUACCUUCAGUUUCUGGAGCCUUUUGUUAGAAGACCAAAGUCCACCUGAAGGGAAAGUCUGCUGCUAUAUUUCAUGGAGUAAAUGUAUGGCAGCCACAGAGAUUUUAAAUAUGUAUUUGUUCAUUUUGCCUUUGCUUUAGAAAGGCUAUUCCCACUACACUGAAUUGAAAAGUGUUUCCACAAUUACCGGGCAAACAUCUGAAUUCUCUGAGUUGGAGAAUUGCUAGUGAUCUCAGAGAGGGCUGAAAAGACUCUCAGUCUUUAAUAACUUGGUCUUUAAGAAAGGACAGAUUACUUCCCAGUUCUGAAGUGCCAGGUUAUUCUACGUAGUCAGCUGCUACAAAAUCACCAUUGGUACCACAAGUUCAGAGGUGUCAGAGGACCUUCUGAGGGGCUGCCUAUGAGACAACUUCCUUUUAUAUUUUCAUUUAAUUUGGAACAACAUGCAAGACUUGCAGGAUGCAUAUAUAAUGUCAGUGCAGAGAGGUUUGUUUAUUUGUCUUCUGGCCAAAAACAAACAGGUGCUCUUACUGAGAACAUCUUCAAUACAGUGAAUUGUAAGUGAACCCUACUUCACAAAUGUAGAAGCGAUAAAGCCAAUGCUCAUCAGCUUAUCUUUAAGAAUCUGAAGUCUAGAAGGCUACAGAGAACAACUGAGCGUUGCCACAGAAGAUGCUGUGGCAGGUAUUCAUCUGCCAGAGUUCACGGCAUCACCUGUGUGUGAGCAAAGCACCCCAGCCUUACGGGAGAGUCCCAUCAAGUUUAUUAAGAGAUAUAAUCCAGCUUACCCUUUUAAGUGAUACCCGAGAGUUCUGUGCCAGAUGAGAUUUAUACCACCAUCAUUCCCUGUCCCUCUCACACCAACUGUGUGCACUCUUUGUGGAGAUAAGCCAGGGAGGCUGGAACAUAAAUAUGCCCACAGGCAGCACAUCCAUAUUGCCCUAUCAGAAAGAACAAAGAAAGAAAUCGGAACUAAUUAGUAUUGCAGUGUGUCUGAGGCUGGAUUUAGCAUCAUCCAGCAACCACAGGCAGUGAAGGAAUGAAGAAAAAUGGAGCCAAUUUGUGGCUCAGUAUUUAUUAGCAUUUAGAUAAUAUGCCCCAUCCAUCAUAGAAAAGGCAUGUUUCAGAAGUACCAAUGCUUGUGCGUUCCGAGUGCCCAGAACCCCUGUAAAUCGCAUUCCUCUGAUCCUGCUGAGAAUAAAACACAUUCAUCCAGAAGCACUGCUGGGGGAGGACACUUUUUCCUUGUGAUGGAAAUAAAGACUGAUACAAAGGAAUCAUAAAAGCAAGAGGCUGCAGAUUAAGAUAGAAGCAGUCCACUCUUUCCCAGUGAUGCGCAUGUGUGAUUUACAAGCUGCCAAACACAGCCAUGGGAUUAAAAUGGGAAUAAAAUCCCAGUUGACAUUGACAGGUGCUGGAAAAUAAACUGUUAAAAACAACAGCAAAAAAAGUUUGAUUCCUUUGUUUAUCUUGAAGGUGAGUAUCUGUAGGCAGCACCAGAUUCACAAAGGACUGAACAAGAGAUCCAUUUCCAGAUGUUGCAGCCAACCACCCUGCAAAUCUCCAGCAGCCUGAAUGAGUACCAUGUGUGCCUUUCUCAGCGCACUUUAAUUUCUACAGAGCCAUCACUUUGUAAGAGACAGAUUCUUCCAUCAGUUAUUGCUCAGUGUAGAGGAGAUAGAGGCACACAUAAGGUUCACAGCCUUACUGCAGUGUUGCAAAGCAUGUUGUAUUUCUCUGUUUUUCAAGUUUAUUCUCCUGGCAUUCCAAGACCAGACUCCCAGAAAUCUCAUCAAUGUGUGACUCAGUGAAAGCCCAAGCAUAUGACCAGACUCAAAGAAACAGAAAAUUAAGCCUACACGUAAGCACACUGAUAAAGCAAGGCCUAUAAGAACUAGAGCAGCAAAUGAGUCUUUUUGUGCAGACUUCUGCUCUGUUAAAGUUUUAAUGGUAUCUGACUUUUCAUCCCACUUCAGCAUGGCACAUCAAAAAUCUUGGAGAGAGCAGUACUUGGAAGAGUAACUUCUUGCCUUUCUGUAUUUAAGAAGGUAAAUUGUUCUGGGUCCUAAGGAGUUGUCAGUUUGCAGUCAGGCUGUUCAGCAUGUUAGCAGCUGUUAACUAAAACAAACCCGACAAAACAAAGCAACACAUUUCAUAGUGAGCAUCCAUCUGGGUUGUUAACACAAGUGUGACCCUGGACUUACUGUUUCUAGCAUAACAGCUCAAGUUUUUGUUUAUUUAUUUGCAUAAUCUUUGACAGCACGGGCAAGUUAAAGGAUCCAUUUCUGAGUGAAAUGGCAGUUCCUGGGCUGUUACCAGUGGAUACAAAUCCACAGUAAUGCUGACAGAGGAAUUAACUCAUAAAACACAUUUGACAAACAGAUGAGCUUCAAACUCUCCAGCGGCUCAGGACUAUAAUGAGCAAGGAGUUUAGUAAAUAAGAACAUUUUAAUUCAGGAACACGCAAUUGAUAUCAGUGCCACACAUCCACAUAUCCUGAAAACAAUUACUGAUAUGCUGAACGAGCAGUUGUGUUUCUUGAGAUUGCUGUGCCAGCAAAUACUGGAAAUAAAGUAAGCUUAAGAUAAUAGUAAGUUGCAGUUGCAUACAACUGUUUGUAGAAAAUUCAGUAUCUCCUCAUUUUCUCCCCACCAUGUGCAUGCAUGCUCAUAAGGUAAUAUAAUUUAAAGCCAUGGUGUACCACUGAUUUCAUUUAUAUGUUCGUCUGCCCCAUAAACACCUUGCCAUCAUUCCCAAGGUCUCAGCAGAAACAGCUCUGCUGAGAUCAGAACUCACUUAGCAGAUGAAUUUCCUUCUCAACAGGCAGUACAGACCAGUGCCAGCCCUCCAGCCCACUGCCCUGCUCCCACCUCUCUGCAGGCUCAGGCUGCUCCUCCUGCCUGGGCUCAGACCCAUGGCGGCUCUUACCUGCAGCAGCAGCACAUCACCAUCCAGACCCCAGCCUGAGUCCCCUGCUUUCCAUCCACUUCAUAGAGGGCAGACACCUGCAGCCUACAUGUAGCAGCCUAAAAGAGGCAAUGAAAUGAGAAAAAUAUAUUUAAAGCGAUGCUGAGUGUGAGGAUGGUGCAAUGUAUCAACACACUCUGACAAGAGGCCAAGGCCCUGGGACUUAAAAUACCCUUAAAACCGUGCCACAUGACCACCUGCACUUUCUGAAACAUCAGCGUUGUGACCGCCAGCACAACCUGACAGCACCACCCUCUCCCAGUAAAGAUGGCUGCUGCAAGGAAUAAAGAUUGCUACCUGUCAACCACGAGUGCUACUGGUCUGGUAUGGACUGGUAAACUUGGCCUGUUUUCCUAAACGUGUAAUAAAUGAUGUACCACCUGUA